rnacentral:rRNA from 1 species
UUAAGUUAUUAAGGGCGCACGGUGGAUGCCUUGGCACUAGAAGCCGAUGAAGGACGUUACUAACGACGAUAUGCUUUGGGGAGCUGUAAGUAAGCUUUGAUCCAGAGAUUUCCGAAUGGGGAAACCCAGCAUGAGUUAUGUCAUGUUAUCGAUAUGUGAAUACAUAGCAUAUCAGAAGGCACACCCGGAGAACUGAAACAUCUUAGUACCCGGAGGAAGAGAAAGAAAAUUCGAUUCCCUUAGUAGCGGCGAGCGAAACGGGAAGAGCCCAAACCAACAAGCUUGCUUGUUGGGGUUGUAGGACACUCUAUACGGAGUUACAAAGGACGACAUUAGACGAAUCAUCUGGAAAGAUGAAUCAAAGAAGGUAAUAAUCCUGUAGUCGAAAAUGUUGUCUCUCUUGAGUGGAUCCUGAGUACGACGGAGCACGUGAAAUUCCGUCGGAAUCUGGGAGGACCAUCUCCUAAGGCUAAAUACUCUCUAGUGACCGAUAGUGAACCAGUACCGUGAGGGAAAGGUGAAAAGCACCCCGGAAGGGGAGUGAAAUAGAACCUGAAACCGUGUGCUUACAAGUAGUCAGAGCCCGUUAAUGGGUGAUGGCGUGCCUUUUGUAGAAUGAACCGGCGAGUUACGAUUUGAUGCAAGGUUAAGCAGUAAAUGUGGAGCCGUAGCGAAAGCGAGUCUGAAUAGGGCGUUUAGUAUUUGGUCGUAGACCCGAAACCAGGUGAUCUACCCUUGGUCAGGUUGAAGUUCAGGUAACACUGAAUGGAGGACCGAACCGACUUACGUUGAAAAGUGAGCGGAUGAACUGAGGGUAGCGGAGAAAUUCCAAUCGAACCUGGAGAUAGCUGGUUCUCUCCGAAAUAGCUUUAGGGCUAGCCUCAAGUGAUGAUUAUUGGAGGUAGAGCACUGUUUGGACGAGGGGCCCCUCUCGGGUUACCGAAUUCAGACAAACUCCGAAUGCCAAUUAAUUUAACUUGGGAGUCAGAACAUGGGUGAUAAGGUCCGUGUUCGAAAGGGAAACAGCCCAGACCACCAGCUAAGGUCCCAAAAUAUAUGUUAAGUGGAAAAGGAUGUGGCGUUGCCCAGACAACUAGGAUGUUGGCUUAGAAGCAGCCAUCAUUUAAAGAGUGCGUAAUAGCUCACUAGUCGAGUGACACUGCGCCGAAAAUGUACCGGGGCUAAACAUAUUACCGAAGCUGUGGAUUGUCCUUUGGACAAUGGUAGGAGAGCGUUCUAAGGGCGUUGAAGCAUGAUCGUAAGGACAUGUGGAGCGCUUAGAAGUGAGAAUGCCGGUGUGAGUAGCGAAAGACGGGUGAGAAUCCCGUCCACCGAUUGACUAAGGUUUCCAGAGGAAGGCUCGUCCGCUCUGGGUUAGUCGGGGCCUAAGCUGAGGCCGACAGGCGUAGGCGAUGGAUAACAGGUUGAUAUUCCUGUACCACCUAUAAUCGUUUUAAUCGAUGGGGGGACGCAGUAGGAUAGGCGAAGCGUGCGAUUGGAUUGCACGUCUAAGCAGUAAGGCUGAGUAUUAGGCAAAUCCGGUACUCGUUAAGGCUGAGCUGUGAUGGGGAGAAGACAUUGUGUCUUCGAGUCGUUGAUUUCACACUGCCGAGAAAAGCCUCUAGAUAGAAAAUAGGUGCCCGUACCGCAAACCGACACAGGUAGUCAAGAUGAGAAUUCUAAGGUGAGCGAGCGAACUCUCGUUAAGGAACUCGGCAAAAUGACCCCGUAACUUCGGGAGAAGGGGUGCUCUUUAGGGUUAACGCCCAGAAGAGCCGCAGUGAAUAGGCCCAAGCGACUGUUUAUCAAAAACACAGGUCUCUGCUAAACCGUAAGGUGAUGUAUAGGGGCUGACGCCUGCCCGGUGCUGGAAGGUUAAGAGGAGUGGUUAGCUUCUGCGAAGCUACGAAUCGAAGCCCCAGUAAACGGCGGCCGUAACUAUAACGGUCCUAAGGUAGCGAAAUUCCUUGUCGGGUAAGUUCCGACCCGCACGAAAGGCGUAACGAUUUGGGCACUGUCUCAACGAGAGACUCGGUGAAAUCAUAGUACCUGUGAAGAUGCAGGUUACCCGCGACAGGACGGAAAGACCCCGUGGAGCUUUACUGUAGCCUGAUAUUGAAAUUCGGCACAGCUUGUACAGGAUAGGUAGGAGCCUUUGAAACGUGAGCGCUAGCUUACGUGGAGGCGCUGGUGGGAUACUACCCUAGCUGUGUUGGCUUUCUAACCCGCACCACUUAUCGUGGUGGGAGACAGUGUCAGGCGGGCAGUUUGACUGGGGCGGUCGCCUCCUAAAAGGUAACGGAGGCGCUCAAAGGUUCCCUCAGAAUGGUUGGAAAUCAUUCAUAGAGUGUAAAGGCAUAAGGGAGCUUGACUGCGAGACCUACAAGUCGAGCAGGGUCGAAAGACGGACUUAGUGAUCCGGUGGUUCCGCAUGGAAGGGCCAUCGCUCAACGGAUAAAAGCUACCCCGGGGAUAACAGGCUUAUCUCCCCCAAGAGUUCACAUCGACGGGGAGGUUUGGCACCUCGAUGUCGGCUCAUCGCAUCCUGGGGCUGUAGUCGGUCCCAAGGGUUGGGCUGUUCGCCCAUUAAAGCGGUACGCGAGCUGGGUUCAGAACGUCGUGAGACAGUUCGGUCCCUAUCCGUCGUGGGCGUAGGAAAUUUGAGAGGAGCUGUCCUUAGUACGAGAGGACCGGGAUGGACAUACCUCUGGUGUACCAGUUGUCGUGCCAACGGCAUAGCUGGGUAGCUAUGUGUGGACGGGAUAAGUGCUGAAAGCAUCUAAGCAUGAAGCCCCCCUCAAGAUGAGAUUUCCCAACUUCGGUUAUAAGAUCCCUCAAAGAUGAUGAGGUUAAUAGGUUCGAGGUGGAAGCAUGGUGACAUGUGGAGCUGACGAAUACUAAUCGAUCGAAGACUUAAUCAA